UAUCUUUGUCACCGAAUCGGUUUUGGGUGGCCUUUAGCUAUCCAAAUUAAAAGGGAAUCGGGUGUAAAUCCCGAACAGUCCCGCUGCUGUGAAACUCCAUACAACUCUUGGUAAUACUCCUGCACUGGACUAAUAUCCGGGAAGGCACCAAGCAGGGAGCCAGUCAGAAGACCUGCCGUUCAAUGUCUGAAAAG
rnacentral:ncRNA from 2 species